rnacentral:lncRNA from 1 species
AAUGGUUUAGAUUAGAGUGCACAAUGGAAAUAUGGUGAUCUGGAUUAUUUUAAGCUAGUCAGUAAUAUUGAUUCUGAGUUAAAAAUUUAUAAUAGAUGUAUGCUUCGAUAUUUCUUUUAGUAGAAAUUUAUUGAUAAUAGAAAGGAUAAGGAUUUUUAUUCUUGAUUAUUUUGGAUGUUGCUAUAUACUUGUCACAAGUAGAUCUCCUAUCUACUAUGUUAAAAAAAAAUUUUGCAUCUUAAGUCG